rnacentral:rRNA from 1 species
ACUGCUCAGUAACACGUGGACAACCUGCCCUUAGGUUGGGUAUAAACCCGGGAAACUGGGUAUAAUACCCGAUAGGUCUCGAUUGCUGGAAUGCAUCGAGAUUUAAAGCUCCGGCGCCUAAGGAUGGGUCUGCGGCCUAUCAGGUAGUAGUGGGUGUAGCGUACCUACUAGCCUACGACGGGUACGGGUUGUGAGAGCGAGAGCCCGGAGAUGGAUUCUGAGACACGAAUCCAGGCCCUACGGGGUGCAGCAGGCGCGAAAACUUUACAAUGCUGGCAACAGCGAUAAGGGAACCUCGAGUGCCAGGUUACAAAUCUGGCUGUCGAGAUGCCUAAAAAGCAUUUCAUAGCAAGGGCCGGGCAAGACCGGUGCCAGCCGCCGCGGUAACACCGGCGGCUCGAGUGGUAACCGUUAUUAUUGGGUCUAAAGGGCCUGUAGCCGGCCGGAUAAGUCUCUUGAGAAAUCUGGCAGCUUAACUGUCAGGCUUUCAGGAGAUACUGUCUGGCUCGAGGCCGGGAGAGGUGAGAGGUACUUCAGGGGUAGGGGUGAAAUCUUGUAAUCCUUGAAGGACCACCAGUGGCGAAGGCGUCUCACCAGAACGGACCUGACGGCAAGGGACGAAAGCUAGGGGCACGAACCGGAUUAGAUACCCGGGUAGUCCUAGCCGUAAACGAUACUCGCUAGGUGUCGGCCACGGUGCGACCGUUGUCGGUGCCGUAGGGAAGCCGUGAAGCGAGCCACCUGGGAAGUACGGCCGCAAGGCUGAAACUUAAAGGAAUUGGCGGGGGAGCAC